GCUGAAGAGAGGAGCUUGCUCUUCUUGGAUGAGUUGCGAACGGGUGAGUAACGCGUAGGUAACCUGCCUUGUAGCGGGGGAUAACUAUUGGAAACGAUAGCUAAUACCGCAUAACAAUGGAUGACACAUGUCAUUUAUUUGAAAGGGGCAAUUGCUCCACUACAAGAUGGACCUGCGUUGUAUUAGCUAGUAGGUGAGGUAACGGCUCACCUAGGCGACGAUACAUAGCCGACCUGAGAGGGUGAUCGGCCACACUGGGACUGAGACACGGCCCAGACUCCUACGGGAGGCAGCAGUAGGGAAUCUUCGGCAAUGGGGGCAACCCUGACCGAGCAACGCCGCGUGAGUGAAGAAGGUUUUCGGAUCGUAAAGCUCUGUUGUAAGUCAAGAACGAGUGUGAGAGUGGAAAGUUCACACUGUGACGGUAGCUUACCAGAAAGGGACGGCUAACUACGUGCCAGCAGCCGCGGUAAUACGUAGGUCCCGAGCGUUGUCCGGAUUUAUUGGGCGUAAAGCGAGCGCAGGCGGUUUGAUAAGUCUGAAGUUAAAGGCUGUGGCUCAACCAUAGUUCGCUUUGGAAACUGUCAAACUUGAGUGCAGAAGGGGAGAGUGGAAUUCCAUGUGUAGCGGUGAAAUGCGUAGAUAUAUGGAGGAACACCGGUGGCGAAAGCGGCUCUCUGGUCUGUAACUGACGCUGAGGCUCGAAAGCGUGGGGAGCGAACAGGAUUAGAUACCCUGGUAGUCCACGCCGUAAACGAUGAGUGCUAGGUGUUGGAUCCUUUCCGGGAUUCAGUGCCGCAGCUAACGCAUUAAGCACUCCGCCUGGGGAGUACGACCGCAAGGUUGAAACUCAAAGGAAUUGACGGGGGCCCGCACAAGCGGUGGAGCAUGUGGUUUAAUUCGAAGCAACGCGAAGAACCUUACCAGGUCUUGACAUCCCGAUGCUAUUUCUAGAGAUAGAAAGUUACUUCGGUACAUCGGUGACAGGUGGUGCAUGGUUGUCGUCAGCUCGUGUCGUGAGAUGUUGGGUUAAGUCCCGCAACGAGCGCAACCCCUAUUGUUAGUUGCCAUCAUUCAGUUGGGCACUCUAGCGAGACUGCCGGUAAUAAACCGGAGGAAGGUGGGGAUGACGUCAAAUCAUCAUGCCCCUUAUGACCUGGGCUACACACGUGCUACAAUGGUUGGUACAACGAGUUGCGAGUCGGUGACGGCAAGCUAAUCUCUUAAAGCCAAUCUCAGUUCGGAUUGUAGGCUGCAACUCGCCUACAUGAAGUCGGAAUCGCUAGUAAUCGCGGAUCAGCACGCCGCGGUGAAUACGUUCCCGGGCCUUGUACACACCGCCCGUCACACCACGAGAGUUUGUAACACCCGAAGUCGGUGAGGUAACCUUUGGAGCCAG
rnacentral:rRNA from 1 species